ensembl:lncRNA
CUGGGAAGCCCUUCUGGAACGGCUAUCGAGAAGGGUGAGGAAAUUGCACCCUCUCUGAGUACAUACUCCCUGUUCCCAAAUAAACAGCACAGGUGCCUGGAAAGAAAGAGUGAGGCCAGAUUGGACUCCACCCAGGCUCCACCCUACCUGGCUGAGGGAUCUCAGGGAAAGCGUUUGCGUUUUCUGUGCCUCAGUUGCCUGAUCUGUAAAAUGGGCUGAAAGAAUCAAAAGUUCCUAGAAAUGCACCUGAUGCACGGUCGAUUCUUUACCAACUGAGCUAUCAGGGAAGCCUUAUUGGACACCCUUGACCUCCAUAUACUCUCUAAUAGUGUUGUUGGGUCAGUCAGAAUUCAAGCAGUUUAAGGAAAGAAGAAAACAAAAUGAGGUUAACCUUUCAAUUCAAUUUAAAUCUCCCUCUUGCUCUUUUGCCAAAUGUGACUUUCCAUGGUGGCUGUGAGCAUAUGAAGGGCUAGACGGUGGAAAGGACAGCUGACAAGGUGAAUCUUGCUGUGUUCCACAAAGGACGUGAAGCAGCUUGUUGCUUGUGGAUAUGUCUUUCCAGGAAAGCUGAGCAAAGCCGAGAGGAUCUCCUGGGGGCCCGUCUGUGCAAAAAAAAAAAGAAAACAAACCUGUGAUGCUUGAGAUGCUGCAAGACUUGGCAUUUGAAGUAGUUCUCCUGGAAGAUUUAUUACUGGAUAAGUCACAAAUUUUGAAUGAGAAAUGGAAUCAAGUCGAGGGUUGAGCAAGCAGACAACAAGCACAAACCAGAGAAAACAGUGCUUUCUUCUCCAACUCGUAGGUUUGUUCUAAGGGACGAGUUAAGAGGUUUAUAACCAUUUUUUAAGACUGAAGUAUAGUUAAUUUACCAUGUGUGAGUUUCUGCUCUACAGCACAGUGAUUCAUUUGUACAUGUUGUUGUUCAGUCACUAAGUCCUGUCUGACUCUUUGCAACCCCAUGGACUGCAGCACACCAGGCUUCCCUGGCCCUCACCGUCUCCAGGUGUCUGCCCAAGUUCAUGUCCACUGAAUAGAUGAUGCCACAUUAGAAGAAAAAAGAAAAAGAUCCUGCAGGAUGCAAUGAAGUUCCGCUGUGCUGCAACUAAGACCCAACACAGCCACAUAAACAACAACAAAAACAAACCCCCAAAAAGCCCUUAUAAAAAAAAUCCAGAUUCGCAGGCACUCCCUGUAGAGUCUGCUCAGGAGACAGGACUAUAGAAGGUCCAGGAGACUCUGGCGCACAGCCAGGCACGGGGCCCUCUGGGUCUACCCUGGGUUUGAAGGCACUGCGCUUCAGUAAAUAGCGACAACAGUGUUAGUCCUCUUCUCAGCCCACUUGUGAGCCCCAGAGGCAAAGCCAGGGUUGGGAGAGCUGGUCUGAGCUCCUGCACACAUCCUUCCUCUGGGCCUUUGCCUGCAGCAGCCCUGGAAAUGGCUGACUGCUGAUUCAAACAUCAGGUUUCUCUCCUCUUCUCACUUCCCCAUGGGGUCAAGGUUGAGAAACACUGUGCUCCAUCCUGUGAGUCCCAUUGGCUGAGUCAGGUCUCCAUCUUCCUUCAGAAUGAUCCAGUAUAGGACAGUGUUAGUAGCUCAGUCAUGUCUGACUCUUUGCAACCCCAAGAACUCUAGUAUCCAUGGAAUUCUCCAGGCAAGAAUACUGAAGUGGGUUGCCAUUUCCUUUUCUAG